rnacentral:rRNA from 1 species
UUUUUUAAGCUUCAAACUGGGAUUAGAUACCCCACUAUUCUUGGUCGCAAAUUAAAUAUAUUUACCAGAGUACUAUGAACCAUAAAAGUUUAAAACUCAAAGAGCUUGGCGGUGUUUUAGACCUUUCAGGGGAACCUGUCUCAUAAUCGACAAUCCACGCUAUACCUAGCCUUUUUUUGCUUUCAGUUUGUAUACCGUCGUCGUCAGGUAACUUUUAAAAAUUUAAAAGUUAGCAUAAAAAACUAUGUAAGUUUAAACGUCAGAUCAAGGUGCAACCUAUAUAAAGGUGAGGAUGGGUUACAAUUAUUAAAUUAUAAUCACGAACUAAUUAUUUGAACAAAUAAUAAUAAAGGAGGACUUGAAAGUAAAUUAAAUUAUAUAAACAUCUUGAAUAAGGCUCUGAAACGUGCACACACCGCCCGUCACCCUCUGCAGUCAAAAAA